CGAGACUCCGUCUCAAAAAAAAUGACUGGACAAAAAACACUCUGAUGCAAACAGGCAAGAAACCCAGCAAGGCCUAUCUGGAUUCUCCUUGGCCUGUCUGCAGCAUUCAUUCCUUCUGGGUAUGGAACAGGACCCUCUGGAAUGGGGGCUGUGGCCUACAACAGUUAAACAAGUGAACUAAAGGGCUCCCAAAAUCUCUCCUGCAGCAUUUUCCUUGAGAAGGAGGAAGGUUUGCAUCUCUGUGAGAAGAAACAUCAGAAGCAGUUGAAAGACCAGGAUGUGGGUCCUCUGGGGCUGAGGAGGCAUUCUGAAUCAACUGUGUGUUCUACACCUGUGUUUUAACUGUGACCUGUCACAUGAGGACAAGUGUGGAAUUUCCCACUUUUGUGCCAUGAGCUGUGAUUGGUUGAUUGAUUUUGAGGCGGAGUUUCACUCUUGUUGCCCAGGCUGAAGUGCAGUGGCACAACCUCUGCUCACUGCAACCGCUGCCUUCCAGUUUCAAGCGAUUCUCCUGCCUCAGCCUCCCAAGUAGCUGGGAUUACAGGCGCCUGCCACAACGUCUGGAGACGGAGUUUCUCCAUUUUGGCCAGUUUGGUGUCGACCUCCCGGGCUUAAGCGAUCCACCCACCUCAGCCUCCCAAAGUGUUGGGAUUACAGGCGUGAGCCACUGUAUCCAGCUUGUGAUAUACUUUUAAUAAAUUUCUCUUAAACUUAAAUUAGCAAGUGCUUGUUUAUCAUCCUUCCAAUUAGAGAACCUGGAUUCGGCCAUUAGGAAGUCAAGGGUGGCAUUCAU
rnacentral:lncRNA from 1 species